AUUUGUUAGAUGGCUUGAGCUUGAAUAUGAAGACGAUUGGCUUCAAGGAUGUCAUUUCCCGGCAACAUUUACAAUGUUAAGGACUUCACCCCAUGUAAGAGCAGCAUCUACACGUUGAAGGGAAGAUUCACAAGAGCCUUAAUAUUCAUGCUAAGGACAUGUUCUACUUAGGUAUUUCAUUGGACCUGAAGCCUCCAGCAGCUGAUGUUGCUGCUAUCAAGGAAAGGUUAUUUUAAGCUAACAUGAUGCGAACUGGAUCUUGGGAAUGUUGAGUUUAAUAUUGUUGACAAGCAGAUUAAGCUGUCAGGAUCGCACUCGGUCUUUGGAAGGGCUAUUGUUGUGCAUGCUGAUCCUGAUGAUCUUGGAAGGGGAAAAUUAACACUAUUGAUUAAUUCGCAUUAAUCAUUAAUUUAUUGCUAUAUAUUGAGUAAGUUAUGUACGAAGCUGGUAAGGGAUGACAUUUAGAAGUGGUCAUGCUUAUAACAAGGGCUGGUUGCGAAUAAACCUCCUGUAAUGUCACCUAACUGCAGAUAGAUCCCCUUUAGCUCUAUUGGUGUUGAUAGACUCCCUGUGCUAUUGGCCAAAGUACGGUAGACAUGAGCUGAGAAAAGAAACAGGAAAUGCAGGAUAAAGAAUUGCAUGUGGCAUCAUAGGGCUCCAGGGUUGAAGGGUGUUGAUUCUGGAUUUUACCACAGCAUCCUGUGUAUUAAUCUGCGUAGCGUAUGUUUCUGCGUAGCGUAUGCUUGGGCAUUGGCACAAGUAGCACAA